UGAGCCAGUGAUGACAGCUGGUGGCGUUUGAGUCAUGGAUGAUGAAUAUUAAGUGUCUGGAACUCUGAGAUUCAG